AUUGAACGCUGGCGGCAGGCCUAACACAUGCAAGUCGAGCGGAUGAAGGGAGCUUGCUCCUGGAUUCAGCGGCGGACGGGUGAGUAAUGCCUAGGAAUCUGCCUGGUAGUGGGGGAUAACGUCCGGAAACGGGCGCUAAUACCGCAUACGUCCUGAGGGAGAAAGUGGGGGAUCUUCGGACCUCACGCUAUCAGAUGAGCCUAGGUCGGAUUAGCUAGUUGGUGGGGUAAAGGCCUACCAAGGCGACGAUCCGUAACUGGUCUGAGAGGAUGAUCAGUCACACUGGAACUGAGACACGGUCCAGACUCCUACGGGAGGCAGCAGUGGGGAAUAUUGGACAAUUGGCGGAAGCCUGAUCCAGCCAUGCCGCGUGUGUGAAGAAGGUCUUCGGAUUGUAAAGCCCUUUAAGUUGGGAGGAAGGGCAGUAAGUUAAUACCUUGCUGUUUUGACGUUACCAACAGAAUAAGCACCGGCUAACUUCGUG
rnacentral:rRNA from 1 species